GAAGCGCAGGCGGUCGGGGCUGCCUCCCUAUCAGACCCUCGGCGGCGGGAGGCGGGGCGAGAGCCGGGGCCCGGCGGCAUCCUCCCCAGCGGCCAUCACCGGGGCUCCAUGGAGAAGCGGGGCGCGCCGCUGGCCCCCGCCCCGCGGGGCCCAGUGCUGCACAUCGUGGUGGUGGGCUUCCACCACAAGAAAGGCUGCCAGGUUGAAUUUUCCUAUCCUCCCCUAAAGCCUGGAGAAGGACAUGACAGCCACAGUUUACCAGAGGAAUGGAAAUACUUGCCAUUUCUCGCCUUACCAGAUGGUGCUCACAACUAUCAGGAAGAUACUGUGUUUUUCCAUUUGCCACCGAGAUAUGGGGAUCGAACCACAGUAUAUGGCGUCUCUUGCUAUAGGCAGAUUGAAGCGAAGGCAUUAAAAGUACGGCAAGCAGACAUCACCCGAGAAACAGUACAGAAAAGUGUCUGUGUUCUCAGUCAGCUGCCUUUGUAUGGGUUACUUCAGGCAAAGCUGCAACUCAUUACACAUGCAUAUUUUGAAGAAAAAGACUUCACGCAAAUUUCAAUUCUAAAGGAACUUUAUGAUCAUAUGAAUAGUUCCUUGGGCAGUACUUUGCUAGAAGGGUCACAAGCUUAUCUGGGGCUGUCUCCUCGGGAUCUUGUUUUUCACUUUAGACACAAGGUCUUGAUCAUUUUUAAAUUGAUUCUUCUAGAGAAAAAGGUGCUGUUUUAUAUUUCUCCAGUAAAUAGGUUGGUGGGAGCUCUGAUGACUGUCCUGUCACUCUUUCCUGGUAUGAUUGAACAUGGUCUUACUGACUGCUCACAGUAUAGACCAAGAAAGAGCAUAUCGGAAGAUGCUGGGUUGCAGGAAAAUACACCAUGGUUAGAUGACUAUGUUUCUGUGUCUGCUGCUGAUAAUUCAAAUACAAACUUAGGAAUGGGAAAGGGAGGCAGGAAGAUGGCAGGAAACCAUUCCCUGGAAGGUCAAAAAGCAAACGUGCCUUUCUCCCAGUCAGAGAAGACUUGCAAUGGAGCUCAGUCCUCCAAUGGUACUGUGCAGCGCUUGAAAGUUCCUUCCCGCACUUCUCCAACAUCCUCUGAAAGUGACUGGGAGACCUUAGAUCCUAGCAUUUUGGAGGAGUCUAAUUUGAGAAAAGGAGAACAUGAAAAUACAGCAUCAGAACAGGCUGAAAAUCUUCCAAGCAAAGGCAUGAGCUCAGAAAGCCUUCCAAUCACUGUGCAGCCCCAAGCAAAUACAGGACACACGGUGCUUGUUCCAGGACUGGUAUCUGGGUUGGAAGAGGACCAGUAUGGUAUGCCGUUGGCUAUUUUUACAAAGGGGUACCUUUGUUUGCCAUACAUGGCACUGCAGCAGCAUCAUCUCCUGUCAGAUGUAACAGUCCGUGGCUUUGUUGCGGGAGCCACCAAUAUCUUGUUCCGUCAGCAGAAACAUCUGAGUGAUGCAAUUGUGGAAAUAGAAGACGCUCAUGUACAAAUCCAUGAUCCAGAACUCCGUAAGAUCCUGAACCCAACAACUGCUGACCUAAGAUUUGCAGAUUACUUGGUGAAGCAUGUAACUGAGAACAGAGAUGAUGUUUUCCUUGAUGGCACUGGAUGGGAAGGAGGAGAUGAGUGGAUCAGGGCUCAGUUCAGUGCUUAUCUUCAUGCACUGCUUGCUGCUGUGCUGCAACCAGACAACGAAAAGACUUUGUCAGACUUUGGAACAGCAUUUGUAGCAGCCUGGAAAAAUACCCACAACUACAGAGUAUGGAAUAGCAACAAGCAUUCAGCUCUUGCAGAGGUAAAUUCUAGCCACCCAUUCCAGGGACAGUACUCUGUAUCAGAUGUUAAGUUAAGAUUGUCACACUCUGUGCAAAACAGUGAACGUGGAAAGAAGAUUGGAAAUGUGAUGGUUUCUACUAGCAGAAAUGUUGUACAAACAGGAAAAGCUGUAGGUCAAUCAGUUGGAGGAGCCUUCACAAGUGCGAAAUCAGCUAUGUCAUCGUGGUUUUCCACUUUUACGCAGUCAACCCAAAGCCUCGGGGACUAAACAAUGGUUUUGCACAAUGCUGCUGAAUAUUUCAGUUGCAAUGCUUUCUCUGAGCUGUAAAAAGAACACUCCAAAACAUAGGAGUGUAGACUAAUUACCAAGGACCAAAGCAAGAUUGAUCUGGGGAAAAGCAGAAUGAGGUGCCCUCUGCAGUGCUAAGCUGAUACACAGCUGCUUGCUGCUUUGUACAGGGACUCUGUUACGAUACUUCACAGUAUUUCUUUUAUGGGCAAGAAGACCAGACAGAUCUUUCUCUGCAGUCUUUUUCCCACUGUCCCAGCUGUCUCUGUGGUUGGGCCAAACAUACAACCUGAUUAAGAGUAUUUUUCUUAAUUUACAAAUGAUAGAAUAAGAAACUUGUAUUCAUUUUCAAUCUUUUUAAGAACUGACAUGCUGCUAGCAGGUUGGACUGUGAUUUAAACUCAUACAGUGAUUAAGACUCAUGCAGUGGCUGGAGAUGAAGUGAUCUUCAUAAUACGUGUUUUCAUUAACAUGUAUGUUUGCUCUUUGACAUUUGCUUAAACUUAAUUUUGGGCUGUAGGAAGGCAUGCAGCCACUGUGGUUCAUCUAAGCUCAUGUAGUCCUCUUCUUAAUUUAAUGCUUGUAACCUCUUUAGUUAAAUCCAAUGCAAAUGCAAGUUAUUUUCCUCCCCUCUGUUUUAAAAUUUCCAGUGCAAGCAUUAUUACUUAUUCAGAAAGGUUUAGGCAGUUGACUUCUAUUUCAAAGACCCUGACAUCCAUUUCUGCACGGCAAGAAACAGAGUCCUAAAUGAAUUGGUGAUAAUGUCUCUGAGUCAACUGUGAAGCUAUUGUUACAGCUCUGUUGUGAUGUAUGUUGCAGAGGUAUGUCUGGCUGUCAAUGUGCAGCAUGAACUGACUUACAGGUAAUACAACAGCACACCUCUCAACUUUCUGGCAUCAAAGACAUCAACCUCUGCUUUUUGUAUGUGCCAGCAUUUGAGGAACUGUCUAUUGAGCAUAUAAGUCCCCAAAACCUCACAAGACUAAGUAUCAUUGACCUAAUAUUUCAUUUGGCUAAAAUGUUCAGCAUUUUUCAUCAAUCAUUUUUGUGUCAUAACCUCAAUUCCUGUGCAUAUCUGACACCAGUUUCCUCAAAUAUUGCAAUGUAAUUAUCAUUUUUUAGAUCAGUGUCCUAGUACAUUGCACUUGUUUAACCUUGUACAUCUGUUUUAAGCAUCUUUGUAAUUAGUAUUUUGCCUAAACAAGCUUCUGAUUUCCGUAGAAAUUAUUACUAAGCAGAGAAACUAGUGUGAUAGGAUUUAACUAAAAGUGAAGGCGUGAAUGCAGGUUUUUAAAUAUAGAAACUGUUGCUUGAUAAUUGAACAUGCAAGUAAUGUAUUUGAUUUUUCUUGUGCUGCUUGAAAAAUAGAUACAUCCAGCCUGUUUAAAGUUCUGUCUGCUCAAAAAGCUGUAUUAUUUUAAGAAACUAAUCUCAUCAGAAGACAUUUGCAAUGUCUGGGUUUGAUAUUGAUAGCUGCUUGCAAUACACUGGCAGUCUUUUUGAAAUUUGUCUUCCAUUUAAACUGAUUGUGGAUGCUGCUUUUUGCAAAUUUAGGACAAGAGGGUCCUCUAGUGUGACUUUAUUCCCUAUUGGGUACUGCUCACUGUGAAUUGAUUAAAGUCUUCAGUAGCUCACAGACCUUGUAUCAGUAAGAACUUUUAAGUGCGACUGUAAAAUUUUGAUGUAGAUAUAACUUCAAAAUAGUAUGUAGUUCAUGUGGAUUGUGACAUUUAGUCAAAAUCAGGAUGCUGAGUAAAUUAAUUGCUGCACAUCCAGUUCUCUGCCAUAGUGAGCUAUUUUAAAACUUGAAAACUUCCACUGUAACUGUCACUGUACCUAGCUGAGAAUGAUUUGGUGAACUGCUGUUUCCAGUAGGAAGAAACUAACUGCCUUGAAUAACAUUCAGAUGUGAAUUACGUGAAACUUAUGUCUAGAAAACGGUUGCAAUUCUCUAAAACUUUUUAAAAUUUUUCCGACCAUAUGCAAGUAGUUGUGCAAACAUGCUGAAAGAUAAAUUUACAUCAUGUUGUUUAUGCAGUGUAAUUUUACUUUCUUGCAGGUAUUUAGUUUUCAUUAAAAAGGGCAACAUGCAGAGUACUCAUUAAAGGCAGCAACACUACGCUAUUGUACUAUGAUUAAAAAGGUAUGACAAGUUGCUUCAUGGUGUUUUGAGUCUUUAAUACUAUAGUAGAGGAGAAACUGACUUAAAAAAGCAGGCACAGAGCUUUAGUUCUGUGAUGUUUCAGGUCUUGACCCCAUUCUUUAUCAAACAUCAGAAGUAGUGUUUGGAUUCAUAAAAAAAAAUAUGGAGAUGGGUCACUUCUGUCAGUUAAAUAGUGAGCCUUACUCAGAUUACUGUAUUUCCUGUAAACUGACAUCAUAUGUGCAUACUGUGUGUACACAGGUGGCUUAAUCUCAGUUGUGAUGGAACUUGGAAGUCUAGCUGUCUUCUUGAGUCUAUAUAGGCUCAAAAUUGCCUAAUCAUACAUUGCUCCUCAUGUAAUACUAUUCCAAAAUCAACUGACAGAAAGUUGUUACUUCCCUGCCUGAAUUUACUAAUACUGAUGAAAGCAUAAUUACUAUUUGCCUCAAUAGUAGCAGAGAACAUCUAUAAAAUAUUCUUUUCUUGUCUUAAUCUAGAUCACCAAGAAAGUAGCACUGCUUUCUAGAUCAGGUGAGCAUAAAGAAAAUCAAAUAAGAAUGUUUAGACUGAAUGAAGAACAGUUAUCUAAAGUGAAGGCAGAUACAGAGGUAUUUUGUUGUCUGAAAAACAAUAUGGGGAAUAACAUCACUUGCAUACUAUAUGAAACAGCUGGAAAAUACUGAAGAAGCCAACUCAAUUGGUGUCUCACCUCUGAAUUCAGAGAACUUAUGAAAUGCACACAGAAACAGAGUGGAGAAUUUAAAAGUUCAGGCAUACCAGAAAGCGGCAAAAAAAUAAUGCUGAGCUUAAUGUAUUGCCUAAUAUGACCUGUGAUUACUGACCUUUGCUGCUCUAAAUGAAUUGUGUGUAUAUGUAUUUUGACAUGUGUAAUGCUGUGACAAAGACCUGGCUGAAGAGUAUGUCUGCUCUUAAAUUGUGGAAAUUGUUUCUUAAUUUUCUUCUCUUCAAUAAAAACGUGUUCAAUUAACUAGCCAUACCUCUUGCACUUUCUAAAUAAAAUCUCAGCAUCAAGAUUUAGCCUCAUGUUUAGCACAUAAUCUGAAUAGACUGUAAGGUCUAUGUUACAUCACUACCUUUUUAGUACCUGUUAUUGUCCUGUUUACUGGCUGUUAGGUCAUAUUAAUGCAGUAGAGUGCAUGUAUGUAUUCAGUACAGUUUACUAUUUUAAGAGAUGAAGUCAUGAAAUGCCUCAGGUG